GUGUGUGUGUGUGUUUGUGUGUGUGGAUAUAUCUAUCUAUAUAUAUAUAUACAUAUAUAUAUAGAUAGAUAAAUAUAUAUAUAGAUAUAUCCACACACACACACACGCGG
rnacentral:miRNA from 1 species